AGAUUUAUAAGUUUUAGCAGCGAUGUUUAUGUCGCCGCAAAAAAUAUUUCGUCAGAGUUCCGCUCUACCGGCGAAUUUCAACGGAGAAUAUAACACUUUUUCCGGCGACUAGAGUUUCGCCACAAAAUCUCUGUUUGACACUUUUUUCGGCGACAAGUUUUCUCCGCAAAAUCUCAGCGGACACAUUUGCCGGCGAUUAUUUUUUGCCG
rnacentral:lncRNA from 1 species